AUUGAACGCUGGCGGCAUGCCUUACACAUGCAAGUCGAACGGUAACAGGUCUUCGGAUGCUGACGAGUGGCGAACGGGUGAGUAAUACAUCGGAACGUGCCCGAUCGUGGGGGAUAACGCAGCGAAAGCUGUGCUGAUACCGCAUACGAUCUACGGAUGAAAGCGGGGGAUCGCAAGACCUCGCGCGGACGGAGCGGCCGAUGGCAGAUUAGGUAGCUGGUGGGAUAAAAGCUUACCAAGCCGACGGUCUGUAGCUGGUCUGAGAGGACGACCAGCCACACUGGGACGGGGACACGGCCCAGACUCCUACGGGAGGCAGCAGUGGGGAAUUUUGGACAAUGGGCGCAAGCCUGAUCCAGCCAUGCCGCGUGCAGGAUGAAGGCCUUCGGGUUGUAAACUGCUUUUGUACGGAACGAAAAAGUUCUCUCUAAUACAGGGGGCGAAUGACGGUACCGUAAGAAUAAGCACCGGCUAACUACGUGCCAGCCGCCGCCGUAAUAC
rnacentral:rRNA from 1 species